rnacentral:rRNA from 1 species
UGCAAGUCGAACGAAGCACUUUGAUCGAUUUCUUCGGAUUGAAAUUUUAGUGACUGAGUGGCGGACGGGUGAGUAACGCGUGGGUAACCUGCCUCACACAGGGGGAUAACAGUUGGAAACGGCUGCUAAUACCGCAUAAGCGCACAGUACCGCAUGGUACAGUGUGAAAAACUCCGGUGGUGUGAGAUGGACCCGCGUCUGAUUAGCUAGUUGGCAGGGCAACGGCCUACCAAGGCGACGAUCAGUAGCCGACCUGAGAGGGUGACCGGCCACAUUGGGACUGAGACACGGCCCAAACUCCUACGGGAGGCAGCAGUGGGGAAUAUUGCACAAUGGGGGAAACCCUGAUGCAGCGACGCCGCGUGAGCGAAGAAGUAUUUCGGUAUGUAAAGCUCUAUCAGCAGGGAAGAAGAAAUGACGGUACCUGACUAAGAAGCACCGGCUAAAUACGUGCCAGCAGCCGCGGUAAUACGUAUGGUGCAAGCGUUAUCCGGAUUUACUGGGUGUAAAGGGAGCGCAGGCGGAAGGCUAAGUCUGAUGUGAAAGCCCGGGGCUCAACCCCGGUACUGCAUUGGAAACUGGUCAUCUAGAGUGUCGGAGGGGUAAGUGGAAUUCCUAGUGUAGCGGUGAAAUGCGUAGAUAUUAGGAGGAACACCAGUGGCGAAGGCGGCUUACUGGACGAUAACUGACGCUGAGGCUCGAAAGCGUGGGGAGCAAA